rnacentral:rRNA from 1 species
UUGGAGGGCAAGUCUGGUGCCAGCAGCCGCGGUAAUUCCAGCUCCAAUAGCGUAUAUUAAAGUUGUUGCAGUUAAAAAGCUCGUAGUUGAAUUUCGGGGUUCAUCCGUUGGUCGGGCUUUUUGGUCUGUACUGGCGUGAUGGAUUCCUACCUUCUGAAUAACCAGCAUGUCAUUAAUUUGGUGCGCUGGGGAAGCAGGACUGUUACCUUGAAAAAAUUAGAGUGCUUAAAGCAGGCUAUCGCCUGAAUACAUUAGCAUGGAAUAAUGAAAUAGGACGGCAUGGUUCUAUUUUGUUGGUUUCUAGGAUCACCGUAAUGAUUAAUAGGGAUAGUUGGGGGCAUUAGUAUUCAAUUGUCAGAGGUGAAAUUCUUGGAUUUAUUGAAGACUAACUUCUGCGAAAGCAUUUGCCAAGGAUGUUUUCAUUAAUCAAGAACGAAAGUUAGGGGAUCGAAGACGAUCAGAUACCGUCGUAGUCUUAACCAUAAACUAUGCCGACUAGGGAUCGGACGAUGUUAAUUUUUUAAUGACUCGUUCGGCGCCUUACGGGAAA